rnacentral:tmRNA from 1 species
GGGGGCGAUCGGAUUUGACUGGGUUACCGGGGAUCAGGGUGGCGUGCCGAGGUUGAUCAGUUGGCCUCGUAAAAAGCUGAUCACCAAUAACUGCAAAACCGCAGUUUUCUCUUGCUGCCUGAUUCAGGCUGCACCGACCUAAGGAUCCCCGCCUAAGGAGCCGACCGUUGGACGCAAAUUUGGGCUGGCAUCAGUUCACUGUCUACUACGGCUGAUGCAAGAUUUGUUGCGGACUGGUGUCGGAUGGUCUUGUUCGUGGAACCUCUCCGGCACGACUUAAUCAACGAACUACGCACGUAGAGGCUUUGGUUCAGGAGCAACAGGACGGGGGUUCAAUUCCCCCCGCCUCCAUUU